rnacentral:rRNA from 1 species
UACUCUUGACAUCCACGGAAUUUGGCAGAGAUGCCUUAGUGCCUUCGGGAACCGUGAGACAGGUGCUGCAUGGCUGUCGUCAGCUCGUGUUGUGAAAUGUUGGGUUAAGUCCCGCAACGAGCGCAACCCUUAUCCUUUGUUGCCAGCGAUUCGGUCGGGAACUCAAAGGAGACUGCCGGUGAUAAACCGGAGGAAGGUGGGGAUGACGUCAAGUCAUCAUGGCCCUUACGAGUAGGGCUACACACGUGCUACAAUGGCGCAUACAAAGAGAAGCGACCUCGCGAGAGCAAGCGGACCUCACAAAGUGCGUCGUAGUCCGGAUCGGAGUCUGCAACUCGACUCCGUGAAGUCGGAAUCGCUAGUAAUCGUGGAUCAGAAUGCCACGGUGAAUACGUUCCCGGGU